ACAGCAGUAGCCGCGGGAAUACGAAGGGGGCUAGCGUUGUUCGGAAUCACUGGGCGUAAAGGGUGCGUAGGCGGGAUCUUAAGUCAGGGGUGAAAUCCCGAGGCUCAACCUCGGAACUGCCUUUGAUACUGGGGUCCUUGAGUCCGGAAGAGGUGAGUGGAACUGCGAGUGUAGAGGUGAAAUUCGUAGAUAUUCGCAAGAACACCGGUGGCGAAGGCGGCUCACUGGUCCGGAACUGACGCUGAGGCACGACAGCGUGGGGAGCAAACAGGAUUAGAUACCCCCGUAGUCCCUGUCUCUUAUAC
rnacentral:rRNA from 1 species